GUGCUAGUUAGAGAGUAUGAAACAAAAUGCAUGGUUUUGCACAGCGUCCAGUUCAGAAUUGAGUGAAUCAAUGCCAGGGCUCCAAGCAGAUGCAGAAUAUUCCAAUUUCGAGUAAACCAUUGUUUUGUAUAGCAGAAAUUUUAUUGAAGUGGGUGAACGAGAAAAAUUUGUUGAAGAUACCCAAGCAUGCAGUUAGUGUUAUUUAUGAGUUGAUCAAUAUAAGUAUCACAGCACAGGUUAGAAAAACGUGAGCACAGAGGUACUUAUAGGAGAACACAGUUUCAAGAGCAAGAUUGCUAAUGUGGUAAUCAAUCGUUAUGCGAAUUCCUCCUGCAAAUAUUCUAUUGGCGCUUGGCGUAGUUUUUCUUUCCUCGCCAUCCAACCAAGGGCCAACGUACGUGCUUUCAACAACUGCCAGACCGGUUUCAACACCACGAAAAGACCCGCUUUAUCGAUUUUGGGGAAGCUUGGGAGGCCCAAGACCAGUGAUGAGACGCCCACCUCUUCCUACAAUAUAUGAAACGGCACAUCUUCGGAUGGAGAUGGAUGGAAGGGCUGCAGUGAUAAUGAACCCUGAUAUUGCUGGAAAGGGACCCCGUCCUAAUACUCCUUUGGCUUUUCACAGAGGCUAUGGGCCCGCUUAUAGAGGAGGUGUGCCUGCGCACCGCGCACCAGAACGCGUUGGCGGAAUACCUGGUCUUCUUAAUCAAAUACAGCAAGGGCUAAGGCAGUUAAAUUUUGGCGGAUAAGGGUAAUUGUUCAUGCACAUCAACUAUAUACUACAUUACUUAUAUUACAUUUAGUAUGCAAGAAGAAGAGUCUGAAAAACGUGCUCUAGAUUUGAAAUGCGUUUAUUUGGAGGCUUCUACAAUGCUUUCUCGAAUUGUGAUACCUUUGCGAUUUUAAGGAGUCGGAAGGUGUAUGUGAGCAUUGCCAUUUGCGGCGUUCUUUCUUUUGCAUAUGGUGAUGACUGACUGUUUUGUUCGCGUUCGUUUUGCCCUAAUAAAAUUUAUCUGUACUU